GGAAAUGUCUGUCCAAGCAGUAAGUCUGAAGAGGAGUCAAAUGCUUCUUUUCUUAAGGACAAGCUGUGAUGGGGAGGGAAAUAAUAGUACCGAAGUUCCUGAUGUCACACUGCCGAGAAAAGCUUCUAGUGAGAAAACAGCGGCCCGUACCGCAAACCGACACAGGUAGUCGAGGAGAGAAUCCUAAGGUGAGCGAGAGAACUCUCGUUAAGGAACUCGGCAAAAUGACCCCGUAACUUCGGGAGAAGGGGUGCUGAUCAUACGAUCAGCCGCAGUGAAUAGGCCCAAGCGACUGUUUAUCAAAAACACAGGUCUCUGCAAAAUCGUAAGAUGAAGUAUAGGGGCUGACGCCUGCCCGGUGCUGGAAGGUUAAGAGGAGUGCUUAGCGCAAGCGAAGGUACGAAUUGAAGCCCCAGUAAACGGCGGCCGUAACUAUAACGGUCCUAAGGUAGCGAAAUUCCUUGUCGGGUAAGUUCCGACCCGCACGAAAGGCGUAACGAUUUGGGCACUGUCUCAACGAGAGACUCGGUGAAAUUUUAGUACCUGUGAAGAUGCAGGUUACCCGCGACAGGACGGAAAGACCCCAUGGAGCUUUACUGUAGUUUGAUAUUGAGUGUCUGUACCGCAUGUACAGGAUAGGUAGGAGCCGUAGAAAUCGGAACGCUAGUUUCGAUGGAGGCGCUGGUGGGAUACUACCCCUGCGUUAUG
rnacentral:rRNA from 1 species